AGUUCUCAACCACUAAAAAGUUGGAUGAUAAAUUCAAAAAACAAGGGUGUAUUGGGCAUUUCAUAAUCUAUUUACACACUGCACAAAGAAGAAAUCGAUGGGACAAAGCUAUUGAGAUUUCAAAAAAAAAAAUUCACACUGCCCAAUAUACAUCUCAUUCACUUUAAUUUGAAUUUCAAAUUUUAGAUUUUUCAAUCCUUAUCUUUUCUCUUUCCAUCAAAUACUGAGAUCUCUCUUUCUUCUCAAUUCUCUCAUUUGCUUCUACGCUCUCUCACCUUUCCAGAAAACAAAAACCGCUGAAGAAGGGAGAAAUAAGAAGAUUCACAGCAGAAGAAGAAUGCCUGGAAGGAAGAAGAAUGUAACAUAGGUUGAAGAAAUGGAGGCCAAAGAUCAACAGGUUUUGUUCUUUUUUCGUUGUAAAGAAACUGAACUUUUUGAUUAGAUACAUAUCAAAGAAGAACAUAUAUUGAACCCUUUUUUCAUGUUUACAUUUAUUUUCAAAUUAAAAGUUCACUUAUUGCAGCAUAGGAAAGUAAAAGAUCACUUUUUGUAGGUGUAUAGAACGCCCGAAAGGAAGAAGAAUGUAACAUAGUUUUAUGAAUGCACACCAUGUGUUUGACAAAAUGUUCUUUCCAGUUGCAGGUGAAAUUUUUUACUAUUAAUGAAAGGUUAACAGCAUAAUAUAGACUAUAAUUGACAGCAUACCGAUGAUGCUUCUUGCAGUAGAGAUAAUAGUAAAUAGUUCUACCAUAAGUUUAAGGAAUAACAUUAAAAUAUAGUUUGUCUUAAGUAUCCAAAAGGCAGCAUAGUUUAUUUGUGAACAUAUGUUAUAAUUAAAAUGAAGUUUGUUCCACUUUACCUAAGUUUUAUUAUGAGUUUGCUUUGGUUUGUGAAAUCUCUUUUCAUUGCUUUUGUCUCUCAUAUUUUGUUAUAAUUUUUUCUGUUUUUCACCUCCAUUUUGUUUUGUAUGUUGGAGAUUGAAGUUUAAGUGCAUUGAUUAUAUUGAUUUCCCAAUAUUAUAACAUGUUCUUUUUAUGACUAUUGAAUUAUGAGUACUUUGCUAAACUCAUUGAUUAUUAUUGUGAAUUUUGUUUGUUAACAUUUUAAAUUUUUUUGCAAGGAAAUUGAUUAUCAUUGCUAACAAUUGGUCACCAUUGAGGGAAGAAAAAUGCAAGGUGCUAAGAUAAGCACAAUGCAAGGUAUUAGCACUACUUCUAUGUCAACACAAUUCUACACCCAAAGUUCAGCUGGCUCUCAAUAUAAAGCCGAUGACAAUUUCAUGAAGCAAGCUCACGUUAUGAAUGUAAAAAGGGCAAUCAGACAAAUGAUCCUCUCAUUAAACAUGAUACACGUGGUAAACCAAUACCAUGUAAUGCUUGGAUAGUCCAUUUCACAAAUUACAUUGCAUAGACAAGUACCUCUACUAGAAUGCGAGGAAAAAACUAAAUCAGAUCAAUUUUACCUGCCAAGUACCAAGAGUGUAUUGCAAGGCUUCCAAAUGACGUGAUAUUGGUAAGGGAAGAUAAUCCAUGAAUCAUACCAAACUUCUUAUUCAUCGCUGCAAGCUUUGGGUUUUUCUUUGCCACUUCGACAUUUUUUGACCACCCAACUUCCUGUCCAAUGUUAUUCUCUCUCCACUAUAUUUCUUAUACCUUUAUGUUUAUGGAGAUUUGUUUUCAAGAGGUUGGUUAUUGAUUAUUUACCUAAUCUUUAUUUUGAACUUGAAGCUUGCUAGCUCUUCCAUGGAAGCAUAAUGCAAGGUGUUAAUAUGUAAUGUAAAUAGAGAAAAAUCUUAGUUUAGUUGAUUUUGAUUGUCAGCUACUUACUUCAUUCCAUUUUUUUUACUACAAUGAAUUUGUAUGAAAUUUGGAUUUAUCCCUCUUUUAUGUUUAUGUCUGUCUUAUGUUUGAUUAUAAUUCUCUUUUUAGCUCAUUACAUAUGCUUGAUUAAAGUAUCAUGAUGUGAAUAGUUUAAUCCACUGGCUGCUUUACUGGCAGUGGAGACUUAUUUGAGAAACCUGCAAAACAUGGUAUAUGUUUGUACUAAUAUAGGUAGCAGUUUCACUCAUGAUUUUUUUUCUUUGAGCUCUUUCAUUCAUAUCAGGUAUCAUUGUGAGAAAUUUUCAUUUCUUCUUCCUUUUAAUCCUGUCUUUAACUCACCUUCCUUCCAUUUUUACUUAUCUUCAUUACAGAUUAAUGGGAAAAGGGAAAGCGACUGACAUCACUCUCUCUGCUUCAUCAACACUAAAGAAAAAUGUUGAAACUUCAAUAUCACAACAUCAACUAAAGAGAGUUCAUGCAAAGACAUUGAAACCAUUGUUGAAGGAGAGGAACAAGUUCUUCCAAUUACUGUUUCACCUCAAAUUCAGGGUGGAUUUAACCCGUGUCAUUGGAUGGAAAAGAAUAGGGGAAGACAAUCAAUCAAGUCCACUUCCAAGCCAGUUGCCGAAGCAGGAAAGAUGAUGUAACUAAUUUGAUGAGAGACAUUCAAAAAUACUGUUUUCAGACUUUCACACAAGAUGAUCUUGACAAGUCUGCUUCCCUAGAUGAUUCAAUUCUCUCCACUCCAAUUUUUUCCGCUUCUGCCAAGAAUGACAUAUCUCCUGCUUCUCACAAAACACCAGCCAAAAGGAGUGUUGGAAAGCAUCAACCACUUGAGAAUACCCACCUUGAUUCGCAGUUCUCAAUGAGAACUUCUCAUCAACCAGAUCUGACAAGCUCAUUAAGAAGUAGAAGAUCUAAUGGCCUACGAUAUUUUUGUUUCAACAUAUUUGUGAAAAUAGGUUCAUAUAUUGAACAUGUUGAUGUUGUCCAAGCUUAUAAGCAUGAAUGGUCCUUAC